rnacentral:rRNA from 1 species
CCUACGGGAGGCAGCAGUGGGGAAUAUUGGGCAAUGGGCGCAAGCCUGACCCAGCAACGCCGCGUGAAGGAAGAAGGCUUUCGGGUUGUAAACUUCUUUUAAGAGGGAAGAGCAGAAGACGGUACCUCUUGAAUAAGCCACGGCUAACUACGUGCCAGCAGCCGCGGUAAUACGGAGGUGGCAAGCGUGGUCCGGAUUUACUGGGGGGAAAGGGCGUGCAGGCGGGAAGACAAGUCAGAGGUGAAAUCCCGGGGCUCAACCGGGGAACUGCCUUUGAAACUGGUUUUCUGGAGUGCCGGAGAGGUCAGCGGAAUUCCUGGUGUAGGGGUGAAAUGCGUAGAUAUAAGGAAGAACACCAGUGGCGAAGGCGGAUGACUGGAAGGCAACUGACGGUGAGGCGCGAAAGCGUGGGGAGCAAACAGGAUUAGAUACCCUUGUAGUC